AGUAAAAUGGCUGAGAAGAAGCGAUAAAUUGUAAAUUUAUUUACGAGAAUAAAUUCUCUUUUACU
rnacentral:tRNA from 1 species